rnacentral:lncRNA from 1 species
CCAUGGAAAACUGGGUUCUGUGUCGCAUAUUUUUGAAGAGGAGAAGUGGUUGUAGAAACGUGGAGGAGAAGGAGAUGGAGAGUUUGAGAGGCGGAGUGAAUAAUAGGAAGGUGAGGAAGUCGAAGAUGGUUUUCUAUAACUUUUUGGAACAGAGCAAGACUGAUUCCUCAUCUUCUGCCGGCAGUGGAAUUACCCAUGAAUCAGAUGAGCAUGAAGAGAGCAGUAGCUCCGACACCUUCCCUUAUUUUAGAAGAAAACCUUGACACCCUCCACUUAAAUUCUAGUACUACUGCUUGUUUUCAAAUCAUCUCGGAUCAACCUAAGUUUUACCUCUUUUUUAUAUUGUCUUUCCCUGUAAUUAUCUUCUUUCCACCGGCGCUGAGGGUAGUAAUCUAGGUCUGGAGUGUGUAAUCCAGUUCUUUUUUUCCUUCAAUUUCUAAUACCCUUCAUCAUCAUGCAAAUGGAAAGGCAAUGCAUCUUUUAGCUCGCUAAACCAGCUAAAAGCUACUAAUUUUUAGUCCCAAAGGAGAUGCUUUCACAGAGCAAAAGAGAAAUUAUCCACGAUGGAAAGCAUAACAAAAGAGGUUCAAAAUACAUAUAUAUUUAUGUCCAAAAAUAAAGGACCGUUUUCAGGAGAACAUCCCCAAAAUAAGAACAUAACAUUUGCCAGAUCAGCGUCGCACUAGUUACUACCGGGCUCUUCUUCCUUUUCUUCAGGGAAAGAAGAGGCUGCAAAACAAAGCUAUGGUCAUUCUUGUCGGAUCCACCUAAAUUCCUGUUUUUUUAGGGUAUUCCCUGCACAUCAUCAUGGUAAUAAUUUCUUACAAAAUAAACUAUAAUAGCUUCAGUUCACCUUAUUCCAUUUCCACCUUCACAACUAUGCGUAUCUUAUCCAUAUCUCCUUUCUACUUGUAAUUCUUAACAAGUCCGCAAGUUGAUAUUUUUUUUCCAACUUUCCAAAUCACCAAUAUUGACUUUAUUAAACAUUCGAUAAUUGUUUGUCCAACAUAUAUAUCACUCGAUCGUUCACAAUCACAGUUAUUUUUCUUUUGUCAGGUUAACCAUAAAAUACUGUAUAUAUGAAAUGCAAAGUGAGUUAGCCUAACAUUUCUCGACAUUAAAAUUUCAAAACAAGGGAUUAAAUUUUAACACGUCUAGUUUUAAGCUAUAUAGAGAGCAUGAGAGCUACGUUUCCCUAUUGUAUACAACACUGUUGUACACCACUGCCACUACCCUCAGUUUGGAGUUGACCCAAAUUCCAACACUACAACUGAUCCAAUUUGCACCUUUUACAAAAUAAUAAAAUAAAAUAUAGGAAUAAUUAUACAAUAUGCAGAAUAAAUAAACUACCAGCGUGUUGUAAUCAUCUCCAACAAACUAAUGCAGACACUCAUAAAAUUAUAGUUCAACUCUCAAUUACUUUAUGUAUUGAUAACGAUUUAGUGGUAUAAGACAUCACUUUUAAGGCCACUUAGUCAGAGUGUGUCGGACCCAAUCCUCGAAAAACACCAAUCCAACAUACGAACCCUGUUUCGGGGAAAGAAGGGACCGCACAAUUAAAACUUUAUUAUCGUUAGCGAUUUUCACUCUUUUUUUCACAAUUAUAAAAAGUAGUUACAUAAAAAGCAUUGCUCGGAAUUAUACAAAUAUCCAAUGCAUGUAACGAUUUGGUUUUUCUAAAACGAGAAAACAUGAAGGAAUAGCAGUUAUUGAUAAAAAGAAUUGAAUAUUUGAUGAUGAGAUGGAAACAGUGAGACAAGAAGAUCGUGGAAAUCUUCAACUGGGGCAUCACUUGAAGGUACCAUAUUUGUCAUCUACCCUUAGUCCGACGUGGUUGCCCCUCGUUUUCCAACCAACUGGGUCCCUUUAACCUUUAUUCUUUCACCCACCUUUCUCCUUUAAUUUUCUUAUUAUAUUUUUAUUCAAUACACAAUUUUACAUCCAUUUAUAAAAUAUCAUAAAAGAAUAAAUCUUUAUAUUUAAAAAAUAAUAAUAAAAAAAAUGUCAAAUAAUAUAAAAAAAUGUGUAUAUCAAAAUAUAUUUUUCCUUUUAUUACACUAUAUAUCUCUCCUCCACCUUUUCCAAUUUUUCAUUCUAAAAUACUACCUCAUUUGUUCUUCAUUUUCUUUCUUAAACCCAACCUCCCUCACUAUCAAACCACUUUUUCAAAAUAAAUAAUUCUAUCAGUUAACAUCUUAUCUUUUUUCAUGGUACUCUAAAGUUAUGGUGCGUUUCAUGAUAAACAAAACAAGUCACUUAACAAUCACAACAUACUUGAGCAUCUCACACACUUCUCCACGAUUCCUUAAUAGCGGCAACCCUUUUACAAACUUCUUACCUUAAUUCUAAUCAAGUUUUGCUAACUAACUAAUAUUACCAAGUUAUCUCAAUUUUCAUUUGUGAGAGAUCGUCGUGUUUUUCAUAUUUAAUCAAUUGCACAUGUUUAUACGUAAUUAACUAAACAUCUAUAUUGUUGAAAAGUAUUAAAAUUAGUGGCUUUUUAAAACAAAUAAAAAUACUAAAAAUCCAAAAAUACUUAAAAAACUAGUCAAAAUUCAAUUAUUGAAGGUGUGCAGAUGUGACCUGUGAUAUUAUUGAUUAGCAUUUAACCCAAUUCCAUUUUUAACAUACUGUGCAGCAAUUAGAGAGCAACGUGUACAAUUUUUAGUUGUUUAAAUUGAACUCUAAAAUGAGUUCUUUUAACUUUAUCAUCUCUUUAUUAUUUACACGAUUUGUUCGAAUGACACAUAAAAUAAUUGUCUCCCUUGAAAGAGACAAGGUAAUAUGUUAAAAAAUUGACAUCAAUGAUAAUCCCGUAUUCUAAUAAAGACCUCAUAAACAAAGCACACAUUCAAAAUAAAUUUAUUUAUUUUUUCUUCGAUGAGUAUGCAAAAAUAGUAUGGUCAUGAAACCUUUUUUUUUUUAAUAAUUUUAAUAGGUCCAAAAAUUACAUUUUAGAAUAAUUUUUUAAUAACUUUCAUAUUAUAUACUAGUCUUUUAAAAGUAACCGGUCAACUGUAAGUUGCUUAUAUAACAACAAUCACAAAAUCUUAUACGGCACACCUAGGUCGAUGUAUUUUAUCAAUAUUCAACAAAUUGGUUCUUGAAUAAAAAAGAGUAAAGUAUAUAUAUUGGUUUCUUUUAAAAAUAAAAACUAAAUUCGAUAUAUUAGCUCCUCUAAUUCUUUUGUCUUUUUUUUUUUUGCAGUCACUUAGAUUUUGAAAUGCAUCAUUUUAUCCUUCGAAUUUAAAUAACGUUUUAUAAAAAAACAAAAUUAUCUAGACAACGUUCGAACGAUGAAAAGUUCUGCCUUCAUAAGUAGAAGGAAUAAAAAGAAACAACGUUUUUGAUAUAUAACUAAACUUUGGAUGUUUUAGAAUGUUAAAGAACAUAUUUUUACACUUACCAUUGACAUGAAAUAAUACAUCUAGUAUUUUUUAGAACAUCUUUUGUUGAAAUGAAAGGAAAUUAAAGCCGGAAUCUAGUUACAAAUAAAAAUAUAUUAAAACGUUGAAUUUGUGAAAGAAAUAUAAUUAAAGAACACGUUGCUAAUUGUAACUACGCAUAAAUUAUAUUAGACAUCAGUAAAAUAGAGAUGGAUGUUUCAGGUCAACGUUACGGUCAUCUGACAAAAAUAACAGACUAUUUUUUAACCUGUCAAUUUAAAUUUUCAAUCAAUAAUUUAAAAAAAAAAAAUGUGUAUAAUCAAAAGUAAUUUUAGUCGAUGGAAAUUACUUAUCUAUAAAAUAAAGCAGGUAGUAACAUGAACCAACGUAAGUGCAUACACUAUUUUUAGUGACCUAUCCAAAUAAAGUUUUUUGAAUUAAUAAAUUUUAAAAAAGUUCACCACAAUCAGACAGAAUUUCCUGAUAACUUAUUAUUUGUGAAAUAAAGGAAUUAAUCAACUUGUAUUUUUUUCCGACACAGAAUUUUUUUUUAAUAAAAAGAGAGAGUGUUUGACUAGUACUUAAUUGAAUUUAAAAACACUUGUUCUACACUCCCAAGUAACGUGGACGUUUCCAUUAUUUAGUGGGAAAAUAAAAAAUAAAUUAGGCCCACAUAGAAAUAUAUUAUGACAAUUGAGACUGCAAUACAUAGGAUCAUGUCUGUCUGGGAUAGAAUAGAUUUUCUCAUUGGUUUUAUAUGGCCAUAGUUUUUAUGCAUGUAGCUUUAAUAAGAAUAUAUGCCAAUAUGUAUGGUUAGUCGAUUUGAGCGUGAUUUAGACCCUUAAGUUAUUGAAAAGCUAACAGAAUAUUUUAAUUGAUUUGAAAAUGAUUUCGCAAGUGUAUGUUGUUUACGUUCACGGCUCCUCAAAUGAAUGUGGUAUCAGAAGAAUUCAUAAAUGCAAUAAAUUCAAUUUUCAAAAGUGUCUCAGAUACAUAAUUAACUAUUUGUAAUCUAAAAGGAUCUUGAACAAGCGUGGACCUUAAUUGCAUUUAAAAAUUAAAACCUUAAGAAAAUCAAAGCUAAAAGGUGAAUUAAGUACCUAUACAUAGUAAAUAAUGUUAGAAGAAAUUAAUUUACUUUAACUAAUACAAAGUUUUGUAAAACAUGGAUGUCCCGUUAACAAUAGACUGAGGAGUCAACAAUCUUUUCGAUAUUAUGAAAGAUGAUUGAUGCACUGAUCAGUUAGACUAUAAACAAAAUUAAUAACGAGAAUAAUUACAUAAUCCUAAAUCAAAUUAUUACUAUUUAAAUUAUAAUUAAGCUAAUAUUAAUCAAAAGAAUAUCCCAAAUAUAAGUUUAAUAUUUAGAUAAUUAAUUACUUUUUAUUAGUAUUUAUUGUUACAAUAAUUAAAUCAACACUAACUUUAAAGAUUGAACAUAAAAUCCUGUUUGGAAAACAUGAAAGGGGAUUUGAAAAAUAAGAUAAGAAUAAUAUUAGUGAUGUAAAGUGGAAAGGGAGGGUAAGAAAAGGUAACACCGACAGAAUAGGAUGCGUCUGAAGUGUGAAGAAGUUAGUAACUAACAAAACAAAACAAAACCAAAAGAGUUGAGUUUCCUGUAUUCAUUGAUAUUGGUUUGCUCCCCGUUGAGGGAUAGAACAGAAAUAGAAACAAGUUAGUGUGAGAGAGGGAGAGGGUUAGUUGUGUACUUUCAUCAAAUCAGUGCCAUGCCACUGAUAUAGCCUCUUUGUCUUGCCUUGGGUCACCUCCAGCUGUACCCCAUCACAAAACCUCACUUCAUGCACCUCUUCAUUUCACUUCAACAGUAAAACCACCAAAAUCAAAAUUUAGUAAACUCAAGACAAAUUUUGUUUCCAAGAAAAAAUGGAGAACUUGUUUUGUUUUAUCCAAGGAAGGGACCGAGGAGUGCUUGUUUUGGAUAAACCCAACGGAAUUCUCUUCCAAUCACAACACAAGGAACAAGAGGUCGACGGAACUAGGCUUUGUUUUCUUAUUAGCAGCCGCAGCCGCAGCCACUCUGGUCUCACGAACUUUUCUCACGAACAAACCAAAAUAAUAAUAAUAAUAAUAAUAAAACCUUAAACCACAGUUAAUAUAACGUCAAAGUAAAAGAAAGGUUGAGUCUGGUUUACGCAAAAUGUGUCGUCUUAUUCUUCUCCUUCCUUCCUGUCAGACCCAUUUCUAUAAAAGAAGCCACACUGCAUCUUACUCCAUACCCUUUUGCUUUCUUUAUCCAAUAAUAAUAACCCCCUUUUCCCUCCUUUUUCUUCUUUCCUUUCCCCUUCUUCUUCAGCCCCUUUCUUUAUUUUCCUCAACGCUUUAAUGGACUUAUAAGAACCCCCACGAGUGCUUCAAUUGUCACCCACCCAACUUUCCUACUCUGCUCUAGUCGGACACACAGAGCUAUUCUCACUAUAUUCCUAAACAUAUACAGAGAAGAAGUAGGGCGUGGUCGAAUGGAGAAACUGAAUUUUGUCAAAAAUGGGGAGCUCAGAUUGCCUCCGGGCUUCCGUUUCCACCCAACCGACGAGGAAUUGGUUGUGCAAUACUUAAAGCGGAAGGUUUUCUCCUUCCCUUUGCCAGCCUCCGUCAUUCCUGAGUUUGAUGUUUGCAAGUCUGAUCCUUGGGAUUUGCCAGGUUUCCAUAAUUCCCUUCUUCUCCUCUCUCUUCUUCUUAACUAAUUAAGUCUAAUUGCAAUGCCUUGUGGAUGGUGUGUUUAGGUGAUUUAGAGAAAGAGAGGUACUUCUUCAGCACCAAAGAGCCCAAAUAUCCCAACGGCAACCGCUCCAACAGAGCCACCAGUUCAGGUUACUGGAAGGCCACUGGGUUGGACAAACAAAUUUUAACUUCAAAAGGGAACCAAGUAGUGGGAAUGAAGAAGACACUUGUUUUCUACAGAGGAAAGCCACCUCAUGGAUCCAGAACCGAUUGGAUCAUGCAUGAGUAUCGCCUCCUUAACCCUCCGUCUCAGGUCAGGAUUCGGAGAGAGCAAAUUAACUCACAAUUAUCCUCGCGCACGCAUUAAUUAUUCAUACAAUAUUUUUGGUUUGUUUGUGUAUUCAGGUUCCCAUGGAAAACUGGGUUCUGUGUCGCAUAUUUUUGAAGAGGAGAAGUGGUUGUAGAAACGGGGAGGAGAAGGAGAUGGAGAGUUUGAGAGGCAGAGUGGAUAACCGGAAGGUGGGGAAGUUGAAGAUGGUUUUUUAUGACUUUUUGGCGCAGAACAAGACUGAUUGCUCAUCUUCUGCCGGCAGUGGAAUUACCCACGAAUCAGAUGAGAAUGAAGAGAGUAGUAGCUCCAACACCUUCCCUUAUGUUAGAAGAAAACCUUGAGUCCCUUUAGUUAUUUCUAGCACCACUACUUGUUUUACAACCAUCUCAGAUCAACCUAAGCUUUGCCUCUUUCUUUUAUUGUCUUUCCCUGUAAUUAUCUUUUCAUUUUCAACCGGCACUAAGGGUAGUCUAUGUCUGGAGAGUAUGCUACUAAAACUAGUGUGUAAUCCAGUUCUUAUUUUUACUUCAAUCUGUUCUUACUUUUACUUGAAUCUCUAACACACUUCAUGAUGCAAAUGCAAUUGCAAUGCUGCUUAAAAGUUACUGAUUUUCAGUCCUAAAGGAAAAGCUUUCACAGAGCAAAAGAAAAUCACAGUUUUCUUCACAAAAUUUUAAAAAUAAAUUAAAAAAAAAUACACGAAAUGAUAAAAAUAUGUAACGUAAAUAUAUAUUAUACGUGUAAAGAUUUGGUUUUUUCCAGAAUGAGAAAAGAUAAAGUAGUAACACUUAUAUUAAUAAAAAAAUCAAUAUUUCAAUACAUGUAUGAUUAUGUAAUAAUGUUAUACUACACGUUCAUUUUUUUUUAAUUAAAAACUAUUUAUUUGAUCUAUUAAAAGAGGACUUGAAUUCUAGAGGCAAUGUUAUCAUGAUCAUUGAAUUUAUGUUUUAGUAUAUAAUGAAUGAUAGUUAGAUAUCAUAUUAAAAAAAAUUCGGCAAAACUAAAUAGGAAAAUUACAAAAAUUGUUGGUCUGAAAAUGAAUGGCAAGUUUAUUUAUUUUAUUUUUCUAAUUGUAGCAAAAGUGUUUUCAUCUAAUUUUAAAUGUCUUAAAACAAUUUUAGAAGAAAAAUUAUAGAAAAAAAUGUUAUAUUAAUUCUUGUUUUAUAAUUAAAACUUACUUCUUUACUAUUUAUAGGGGGGUUUUUAGUUACAACUCAAUUACAAUAUUUUGUUCAACUACUUUUAAUUAAUAUUAGAAGAAUUUUACAAUUACAAGUAUUCUACGUCCAUCUUAAUAAGAAAACAUUACACUUUCUUUUAUGUAUAAAUAGAUAGUUUUAAGAAAACAUUACACUUUCUAUUAUAUAUAAAUAGAUAGUUUAAAGAUAAAAGUAAGUAAAAAUGUAAGUUCGUAGAAGAGACAGUGAAAAUAUUUUAAGAAUCAUACUGUCCCUCCCAUCGCAUUUUGACUCUUUGGUAUUUUGCUCACAAAAAUUGGAUCAAUCAUGCCAUUGUGCAUAAAAAUGGCAGACUACCAUGUUGUACAUAAACAAAUUUAAAAAAAAGAAAUACUAUAUUCUAACAUUAAUCUUAUUUAAAAUUUUCAUAUCUUUAUUUCAUUAUAUAGAUUUACAAUUGAAAUGAGCUGAAUAUAAGAUUACCAUCUACAUUAAAUAAAUAUUAAAAGUUAAAUAUUUAAUUAACAAUAAAAAAUAAUUAUUAAUUAAGUUACUAAAAAAUUAUAAUAAUUAACCAUAAUUUUUCUUUACUUUCAAAAGUUUUUUAUAUAUAUAUUUUAAUGACAUUGGGUGCAGUCUUGGAACAUUCCAUAUAUUUUACCAUCUAUACAUUUUAAUAAACAUACUUAGUUUAAGAGCACUUUCAAUUUAAAAAAUGAAUCUGAACUUUAGUUUCAGCAUUAUAUUUUAAAGGUUUAGAAGAUUAUAAAGUAGAUUAUAACGCUUUCACAUGGAUUAAUUUCUUAUCCUUUUAAGAUUAAUGAGUUUAAAUCUUGUAUCUGGGAAUUAAUCUAGAACUAUGGUUAUCACGUUUGUGUUUCUUCUAUCAUGUAUGUGUUCUUACCCCUUUGGGAAUCUAUCCAAAAUCUUCAUACUGUAUGAGAUUAGAGUAUUCUACUAUAAUCUUUUGAGGCUCGUUGUUAACAGUUUGGAAUUUUUCAAACAAUUCGUUUCAAUACAAUUCUUCCUGUGUUUUAAGAUUGGUGGGCUUUUUCAAUUAAACAUAGUUUGUGCCUUCGUGGAUUAUCUUAUAGCAUCAGAUAAUUGUGUUGCUUUGUACCCAUGAUAUUUAUUAUAUUCAAAUUUAGGUAAAAUACAAUUUAUAAUAUUUUUAGCCUAAGUUCUUUGUGUUUAAUUUUCCUCAUCUAACUUAUUUGAACACAGGACAGAAUAAAAUAGGCCAACAAUAAAUCAUUAGAACAUUUACUUUAGUUUAUCUGUUGGACGAUGCAUCAAUGGUUCAUAUCCUCUGAAACAUCAAAUGAAACAGACAUCUAUUUAGAGGAAUUUAUCAUCUAAAAAGAUGAACGCAACUGUUUGGAUUUUAAAAUAAUAUUUUUAUUUUUUAACACGUAUAGUAACUGUGAAUUAACUUUUGAAGAAAAGUCAAGUGAAAUUCUUCUUAAAUCAUUGUUUCUAAAAUUUAACUUCUAUGGUUAGACUAAAACUGUAUAUAAAGUCACAUCCUAAUUCCACAUCAGCCAAUCAUGAUAAAGACAAAUUUAUUUGGACAUAUGUCAUAUAGGACCCCUUUACUUAGUAAUUUUAUCAUUUAAUCACAGUUCUAAUUACUUAAAAGUGUUAGUACUCGAACAUUUAAAGAAGGAAAAAUACUAGUUCAUCAUCAACUGCAAAUAUUGUUAAGAACUUCUGUAUUUUCAGCAUAGUUUUUAUUCAAGUACAAAAAUAGUAUAUUUUUUAAACAUGUUUAAGUUCGAUUUUGAAAUUCGGAUGCAUAUUUUCCGUCUAACUAUAUUUCAAAAAAUUAAACUUUGCCUAAUGUACGAGACUUCUCUCACUUUAACUAACUCUAUAUUACGAAAGAUAGGGCUAUCAUCACACCCUUUUAUCAUGAAGUAAAAUUUUGAAGGACUCAAAAUUAUCAAGGGAACUGACUAUAAGAACGAAAUUCACUAUUUCACAAGUCCCUAUAAAUAUAGCUAAUAUAGUAAAAGAGUGCUGGGAAGAAAUGUUAAAAGUGUGUUUGGUAACAUUCUUGAAUUCAUUAAACUAGAGAAGACUAUAAAAGUUGAGCGGUAGGAACAAAAAGAUGAAUUAAGAAUGAAAGAAAUAAAAAAGAAUUAAUUGGCGAGCGGAGUUUGUUGUUAAUAAGGGUAUUAGAGUUCUUCACGUCACCUUUUCUAUUUAAGUUUCAUUUUCAUGGAGAAAAUACAGGAUGACAAAGAGUGUUGUGUGAAUUGCUGACUUAGUAGAACAAUGCAAACUUUUGUCAAUCACGUGGGUAGCCUAUCAUGGUCACACAUGACCCGACCCAUUCACUCCAAUCCAAGCUAAACUUGGUAGUAGGCUCACCUGAUUAGGUCAAUCAGGUUAAGAAGGUUUCCUAUCAAUUAUUAUUUUUCCUUCAAAAACUGUCUUGCACAGAAGGCAACAUGUCCAUCCAUCAAUUGUGACUAUGUCUAUUAAUGUUGUUUGCCUGUAGGGUUUUACAAGGUUUGCUUAGUACAAUUGAAACAAACAAGACGUGUCCAUUUCUUACUUCUUCUCCUAACCAAAUAAAUCUAAGUACAUGGGCCCCAAUUCCCAAAAGAGAUCCAAAGUCCUCUUCUCCACCAAGGCAAAAAUGGAUUAAAAUUGUGAGUGACUCAGUACAUGUUCAACUCGAGUUGAGAUAUAAAAAAAUAAAAUAAACAUGAAUCAAACUGAACUAACUCAGGUUCGUCGAAUUCAAACUCAAUUGAAAAUAAACUGUGUUACUAUUGCCUAACAAUGUCAUUUAUUAUAAUUAUUUACUAUAAGUCGAUAAUUUGAUCUUUUGAUCUUCUUUAACAUUAGAAUCAUGCUAAUAGUGUUAAAUUAUUUGAAUAGGAUUUCAUUGUUUGUCUAAUUGUAUAUAUUAUGCUUACUAUUUUUAUAAUAGUAUUUUCUAAUUUUAGUUGAUGUUUGAUGAAAUAAAUAAAUAAAUACCUUAAUUAUAUUUUAACAGAUAUAUCAGAUCAAUCUACUUUGCUUCUACUAAUAAAACCAAAUUGAAAGAAAAACAAAGCGUUAAGGAGUCAACCGGUUGGGGAUAAGUUGGCUUGCAUCGCAUUGACGUCAAAAAGCCAAUUCCAUUUCAGCCCUACAACAAGUUCACGGGCCAUAAAUUAAGGGCCCCCACAACACUACGGCCCAAAACACAAUUCUCCCUCCUUUACCACUGUUACCUAUAUUGGCAAUUUUCUUUUACAACUUCUUUGGAAAUAUAUGUGUGUGUAUAUAUAUAUAUAUAUAUAUCAAAUCUCAUCGAUCAUGAUAACUAAAUCAAUAAGAACUCGUUUGUUUGACAAAAAUGAGAUAGAGCACCUCUUGAACAAGUUUUCACGAAAGGAUAGUUUGAUUAAGAGCUCUAUGAAAUAAGUUAAAAAGUGUUUAUGGUUGCCUAUAGAAAUUAGAUAAAGAAAAAAGAGUUUAUAGGGAGGUUAUAUAGAAAACAAAAUAAGAAUGGCAUUAUUGUGUAAUUAUUAGGUAAGAACAGUCCAUAAAAGAAAAUAAAAAUAACAGUGAAGAGCAUGUAACAAGAGUAUGGCAGGCACGGCAUAGCUAGAUUGAUAAGAGAUAGAAUUCAAGCAUAGAAUAUAUUAGAAAGCAAUCUGUAAAAGUAAAGAUGGAGUAGGAUAUUUGAGGGUUACAAAUAGGAUUUGAAGGAAAAAAGGAGUGAGUAAUUGAAUGAUCCUGCAAUGAUGCAAGAGAUGAUUGAGAGCAUGCCUUGAAGACAGCUUCAUUCUUGAAAUGGAUUUCAGAAGAAGAGAAUAGAGAUGUGGUUGUCGAAGAAGAAGAAGAAACCCUAAAAAGGAGAAAUAGAGAGAUAGAGAGAGAUGGAAAACCUGCCAAACGCGGCGGAGGAGGCGCUUCUCAGCAUUGGCUUCUUCACGAUCUCCAUCACCCGCGUCCCCCACAGUGCACCACCCAUCCUUAGAUACCAAAUAUCUCUUUCUUUCCGUUGCCCAGCCACCACCACCACCUCCACCCCUUUUUCUCAUUUCCAAUUUGGGCUCAACCUUUUCAUUUUAUUGGGCUUUCUUUCUCUCUAUCCAUUUCUAUUUCCAUUCUCACAUUUUACUAUUUCCACUCUUCCAAUUCUCUGUCUCUUAUAUUCUUGUAUCCUAAUAAUCUAAUUUUACCUAAAUUAAAAACGUAUUUAUAGCAAAAAAUAAUAUUAGGAUAAUUAUAGAUAGAUUUCAUUUUUAAUAGAACAAGAAAAAAGAAAACUACACUUUCAGUACAACAACUCUUUAAUUUUAUUAGUUUUUGUAUUCAAACAAAAUCAAAGAAUCAUAGUAUUUGUACUAAAAUAAUAAUUUUAUUAUUAUACUAAAAAUAAAAUAUAUAUGUAUACUCACCAUACUAAACCAAUUAUUUAUCUGAAAAAAAAAUAUCAAAAAAUUUAAAUGUAUAUAAUAUAAAUCAAAUUUGAUAAUGAAGACAUAAACAUGUGUUUGAAACCAAUGAUUAAGUACUCGAAGCAAAUCAUAUGUUAAUAUAAUUAAAGUAAUUAAAAGGUAAGAAAAAGAACAACUUCCUAAUCAGAUGUUGAAGAUAAACAAAAUCCAAAUAUUGAUACAUUAAAAAAUAAUCUAAACACAUUAUCAUAUUAGCAUACGAAAUAUAAUAAUGACUUAUUUUUAGUUGCACUUGUCAUGCCAUUGAGAAUAGCUAUUACAUUAUUUCUUACAUUUCCAUACUUAUAAAGAUCUUAAAUCCUUUGAUUUGUUUGUCUCAAUUUCACAAAAACGAGUUAAUAUAAGCAUUUCCACAAAAUCUGAGUAAAAGAUACACAAUAUUUUAAUUACUUCCCUAAUAUAUUUCUAAAACGGAAUAAACCUGUUAGUAAAUAAUCCAAAAUUAUCAAAUUACAAUAAAGUGCAAGAAUCAUAAACUAUAUUCAAAGGUAGUUAAUAUGUCCCCUCUUACAUUUAGCUUUGAUUUUACAGAGCCUUUAAACUCUAAUAUUUGAGUCCUCUAAUUAACCCAACCACAAAAGUCCUAUAACAAUAACGUAAAUAUAUUACUAAAACAUUUUUAAAACAAAAUAAGUUUAUAUUAAAAAGGAAAAUAUUUUUUUAAAAACUUUAUUUUAAUAAUUUUUCUACAACGUCCAUGUAGAAACUUGCAAAUGAUCCAUCUCAAAUAUUUUAUUAAAAAUAAAUUCAUACAAACUAAUAAAAUAAUAACUAUUAUCAAAAUAUUAUUAUAAAAAGUUAUUAACAUAUAAUUAAAAAAAGUUAGAAUCGUACAAUUUUAAAGAAGUGCAAGAAAUAUAAAUUGUAUUAAAAAAUAAUUAGAAUAUCAAAUCUUAUCCUUUACUUAAAUUUGAGAAAUUCCAAAAUACUUUUAAUUAUAGAUAAAAACUUACUAUGAAAAUAAAUUCAUUGAUAAAAUAACAUUUAUUAUAAUUUUCUUUUGACAAAAAAAAAUUGUAAAUAAAAAUUUGAAUUAUUGACGAAAAAAAUUAUUCAAUAAAAUAUGUAAGUUAUCUUAAAUUAUUGUUAUCGAAGGUUUUUUUAUUAGUAAAUCAUGUUCGGGCACUACAUUUUCCACUUUGAUUCGUGCUAAAAUUUGUUAGUGAAAUUGUUGAUUAUAAAAAUUUUUAAAAUCUGUCAGUAAAAAUCCAUCAAAUAAAAAUUUAUUUAUUGAUGAAAAAUUCCUCCAAUAAAUUAGGAAUCAAAAUUAUCACUCAAUCUAAUUAAAUAUUUAUAAAUUAAUUGAUUAAUAUUUGUUGAUAAUUUUUUUUCGAUAAAAUAAAUUUUUAAUUAUAAAAAAAAAUGUUGAUAAAUUCGUUAGUAAAAAAAUCCGAAAGAAAAAAAAAAUUGUCUAAUUUUUCAAUAACAUAUUCGUAAAAGAAAAUUUUGAUAAAAAUAUAAAUUGUCAGUAAAUUCGUAAGUAAUUUACAGUUGUUAUUACAAGGAACUUUUCUAUUUGUGAAUUAUGUUGAUAAAAGAUUAUGCACUUCCUUUUUUAUUUGUGAUAAAAUUUAUUAAUAAAUUCGUCGAUAACUGAUUUUCUUAAAAUCUAUUACUGAAAAUUUGUCGAUGAAUUUAUGGAUAAGGUACCAAAUUUUUCAUUCAAACUAACAAAAUAUGUUAAUAAAUUAAUUUCUCAAUAUUCGUCGGGAAAAUAAAAUUUUCAUCAUCUUCAAGAAUAAUUGCAAAAAUAAUGAUAAGAAUAAAAGAGAGAAAAAGAUAAAUAUUUAUCAAUAAAUUUUAAUAAAAAUAAAAAUUAUCCAAUGAAUUUUAUUAAUGAAUAAUUAUUCAAAGAAUUUUUAAUUAUUAAUAAUUAUCGACAAAUUUUCGAAUCUGUUGAUAAAAUUUAGUGAUGAACAUUUGAUGGAUAAAUUUUUUACUUGUAGUGUGUAACAUCUCAAUAAAUAUAACUUGAAAACUAUAAUUUAUUUUAGGGGUAUACAUAAACAAUAAUAAAGGACAGUAGGAGAUAAGCACUUAAGAGUAACGAGAAUAUGAGAUUUCAUAUAGAAUUUAAAGUUGUACAAAAAUAUAGAAGUUUGGUAGCUUUAAGGCCGAACAGUCAUAUGACAAGUUCCAGGCCGAAUGGUACAUCAAAGGGAUAACUAGACCGAACGGUUCUUACAAAACACGAACCGAACGGUUAUUACACUAAGCAAAUGAAAAAUCUAAUCUAAGGACCGGACGGUCCUGCACAAGUCUCCGACAUCACAUCCAAGGGUUGUUCUGUUUGCAAGGCAUCUUCCAAAGUAUCUUCUAGAGCACCCUCUGCUCACACCCAAACGGAUGAUCAUUGCAGUGAAGAGAACAAACCGGACAGUCGAAUAUCGAACGACAACAUAGACAAGACAAAACAGAUAAGGGUAAGCUUAUGUAAAUUUAAUUAAUCAUUUCUAUAUAUUUUUCAAAACAUACACAUAAUCACAUACAUCAAUAUCUCAAUCAUGUAAUCAUCAUAUAAGAAUAACAAUAAAACCGAACGUAUACAUCACUCAAAUCAUCUCAUAUAAUAACCGAACAUAUAAAACAUUAUGACCGACCAUUAUGACUCUGUCCGGACUGUAGGAAUAUGUAGCUAUGGUUAUCCUUGCAUCUGUGGGUGGUAACCUGGAAUAAACCAUCAGUAUUACCGCAACAUGGAUAACCCUUGAGUUUGCCCACGAGGUUAGCCUGUUAAAACACCUUAGGUCAAGGUUGUACACACCGCCCAGGCUAGAGCCUCCUGCCAUUCUCACCACAUGGUCACUAGCGCUAGUGAGCAUUAGAAUAUCAGGACGAACACCAAUACAAAGUUGGCCAUAUUCUUACUUCACCAUCAAUCAAACAUAUGGUAUGAACCAUGUAUGCUCGCCGCUCUCUGCACUCAGUGUGGACCUGGCUAGCAUAACUCAUCAGACCGCCACCCGAGGUUAGUCCUAAAACGAUCACCUGGUCUUAUGAUCAUGGACCUCCUGCCAUUCACACGCAUGACUUUUCCUCCUCUAUAUGAGAAGGCAAAAUCACGAAAUAUCAGGAUAGAGCGGAACCUGAGCCUUAGCCACGGUCGUACUUUACCAAUAUAAGUCCAAUCAUGAGCUAUUCCUCCCUGGAAUACUCUUACUUAAAUCAAUACUACACAAGGUUAAGGAAAUGACCGGACGGUAAGACACAUAAAGGAAAUGGAGUACCAAGGAAAACUUAAUAGAUGACCGAACGGUCGGAUCGAAUUAAGAAAAACAACAUAGAAGAAGUUCUAGUAAGGGACCGAACGGUCAAGCAAGGAAGGAAACCGAGCGUUGUUUGAAGAUAAAGAAAAAUAAAUAAUUCAAGGAAAUGAAUGAACGUUCAACAAUAGGUUACCUUUAACAAGACCCAGUACUUUACAGUUUGGCUGAAUGCCUUAAUAUACAUAAACUAGAGUUCUUUUCAGUAAAACGAGUGUCAGUGCAAAACCGAACACUCUGUGAGGGAUCAAGUGUCAGUGUAAGACCGAUAAUAGAUAUUAUUAUAAACUGGACAUUUUUCCCAAGAAGGAUAAUUAACACCAAACCAAGUACUUAGUCUAUGACCAAAUAGUCAAACAUAAUAUCAUAUUUGUAAAACCGAACGCUGGGUUUAUGACCGAAUGUUCUUAAAAUGAGUAGUAAUUAUAAUACGAAAUCGAAUGCUUCAGAAGUUAAGUGUCAGUCUAAUACCAAACACUUGUAUGAUUGAACGUAUAGUUUAUGACCAGACGUUCUUAGAAUUCAAGCACUGGUAUAAGACUUAGCACUUUUAAUAAACAUUAUCAAUAUAGGCCGAACACUCAGUGUAUGACUGAACGUUCUAAAUAGUUAAUACGAGACCGAAUACUCAGUGUAUGACCAAGCACUUAGAGACCGGACGUUCAGUAUAGGACCGGACGUCCUUUAAUGGUUAAUUCCGAACGGAUAACCAAGCAAGAUAUUUAAGUUUCAACACAAAGGUACCAGAUCAAUUGUUUUAAGAGGAAACCGAACGGUCCUAAUGACCCUUCGAUUACAGAUUCAUAUUUUCACUAAGUUUUAUAACUUUAUGACAUAUUUCAUACAAAAAAUCAAACAUGCAUUUCUCAGCAACAAGAUCAUACAUUCAGCAAGCAUAACUCACAAAAUAUUGCAUACAAAAAUAAUCAUAAUUAAAUUUAUAAGCUUCCCUUACCUCUAUUUCCAGCUAGGCCUCUAAGGUUCCUUUAGCACUGACUACCUCUUCUAAUGUUCCCAAGGUCUAGAGUCAAAUUACAAGACAACCGAUUUUAGGGAAAUGGUUUAACAAUCACAUGCAAGCUUAAAGGGUGCUUGCAUGCAAGAAUACCAAUAAGCUUAAAUGGCCAGAAAACACUUACCGAUUCAUAACGGAAAUUGGACCGGUGCAAAGUGAAGGUCUUGACGACGAGAACAAUUAAUCUGAAAGUAAUCAGGUGAUCGGAGGAGGGGAAAGGGUUAGAAUUCUAGACAGGAGGCUGAAGGGUUUUAGAGAGAAGGAGGAGAAAAUGGAGUUCUGAAAUUUUGGAGAAGAAGAUCGCAUGUAGGGAAAAUGAUGUCAGAUUUAAAACUCCAGCUUUUAUAUCACCUCCAAAAACCAAACGGUCAAGUCUCAUGCUGCCACAUGUUUUCCACUUCCUGAAUUGCUGCACUCCAUGGGCUGCCACUUGGAUUCCACUUCCUGUACAUCUCACCUUUUUUGUUGCCGCACGGUUUCCAAUGAUUGAGAAAUUAAAUACACGUACAGAUUUUGUCUUCCACUGUCAUGGGAAGCUUGGAACGAUGUGACAUGUGUUUUCCACUAAGAUGGAGAAUUUAUGAGAUGUGACAUAGUGGUUUUUGAUUUAUCAACAAAUUAUAAACGUUAUUAUUGACAAACUUUAAUCAUAGAUAAUUUUCUUUUUUUGAUGAGACCAUAAACUUUUUCAUUUACUUCAAUCUUCCUAAGAUCAUAACAUUUGUUUUAGUCUUAAACUUACAUGUUAAUAUGAACACUAUUAAAAAAGUCUAAAUAAAUACAUAUAUAUAUAUAUAUAUAUAUAUAUAUAUAUAUAUAUAUAUAUAUAUAUAUAUAUAUAUAAUUGAUAUGUAUGUUUAAAAGUCUAAUAUAUGUUACUAUAGUAUAAAUGUCCUAGUAAAUAUUUUGAAUGAGUUUGAUGGUUAAGAAUUAUUUACAUGCUUAAUAAUAUAAAUAUAAAUGCACAAUUUCUUUAAAAACAUUAUUUUAUACAUGUGUUAGAAUGACAAACUAUAUUAAAAAAUAACUAGUAUGUUAGUUUUCAACUUUUACAUUAAUUUCAUAAAGAUCUUAAGGUUAAUACACACAUCACCACGAUGUGAUAGUAAAAGCAACAACAUCAAAGCAUUAAUAAUACGUUUUUAAAAUAAAAUAAACUUACAUGAAAAAAAUAAAAAAACCGUCUAAUUAGAAAAAAAAAAUGAUAAAAUAACAAAUUGUAUUAAAAAAAAUAUUAUGUUAACUCUUAUUUUUUUCCUUUAAUCUCAUUAUAACCCUAAACUCUUAUAUUUGCUUUAAUAUCUAGAUGACAAAAAAUAGGUCCAUAUAAAGACCAAUACAAAACUCACCAGGACAUUUUUAAAACAAAAUUAAAUCUACAUUAAAAAAAUUAUCUUUGUAAUGAAAUAGAGUGGCUACCACCAAAAUCUGAGUAAAUAUAUUACUUAAAGUAUUUAAAACAUAAUUAGAACAUUUUAUCUAACUUGUAUUAAAAAUAGAAUGAGCACUCAAGCAACUUAAUGAAAAAUAUUGCUACGAAAAUCAAGGUAAACAUAUAAAAAGUACGACCACAUAAUCAAAAUAAACUUGUUAUUAAUUGUAUUUAAAACAAAAUAAGGAUAUUUCAUUCAACUUAUAGUUAAAAUAGAGUAAACACAUAUAUAACCCAAUGAAAAAUACUGUCACAAAAAUCAAGGUAAAUGCACAAACCUUGCAACACAAAUGAUCAUGUAAAUAGAUUAUUGAGCAUAUAUUUAAAAUAAGAUGAAAAUAUAAGCAACUCAAAUGAAAAAUAUUACCAUAUAAAUUAAAAUAAACACACAAAUCUAUAAACACUAUAUCAGUAUUACAGAAAGAACCUUAGAAAAAUAUAAUAAGAUAAAACAGAAAGUAAUGAAGAAAAUUCAGCAAUGAUGUAAGCAUAUUUACAUUAGGAUAAGAAUAAUCCAAUAUUUUUUAUAAAUAUUAAAAGAACAAUAAAAUUUUAGUAUGACCUUGCACUCUCACACCUCAGUCUCUAACACACACAAAAGUAGGUUAAUAAAAAUACUAAUAAAAAAAUUACAAGUAACAACAACAAAUAUAGUCCAUAGCGUGCUAUGAUAAAAUUGAUGUAUAUGUUUUGAAGUUUGAGUGUAUUGUUAUAAUAUGAAAGCUCUAGUAAGUUUUUUAAAUGAGUUUCACAGUUACUAACUAUUUUAUAAACUUAACAAUGUAAAUAUAAAAUAUUCAUAUAUUGCAUAAAUUUAUAUCAAAUUAUUAUUUUACAUGAGUUGAAAUCACAAUUUGUAUUCAAACAUAGAUACUAUGUUAAGGUUUUACUUUUGCUUUAAUGUUACAAAUAUCUUUAAAUACAUGUUCUAUAGUAGAGAUUGUAUUGAAAAUAUACAAAUCUAUAAGAAAUAUAUGACUUAUUUAAGUUAUUCUUUUUAUUAUAUAUGAAUACACAUAUACUUAUAAACAAUAAGUAUAUAAAGUAAUAAAAAAAUCACAGUUCAUGAAAAAACCAAAUAACAAAUAUUAAUUAAUAAAUUAUAAAAAAUUAAGUAUUUAAUAAAAUAAAAUAUUUUAUUAGAGACUCGUAUUAAAAUAUUCAAACUUACCAAAUAUUUCAAACUUAUUUUUCUCGAAAUUAAAAGUGGAAUAUUUUAAAGUACAAAAGUAAUUGAUUUAGUAAGAAAAAUAUAUUAUUAAGAAUUUUAUUUUAAUUAUUAAUGUGAAGUUUACAAGUGUUGUUUAUCGAAUGGGGUUGUUGUGGGUGAGCGAGGAGGAACAGCAGCCUGUGUCUGCCUCACCAACCUACCUCGCACGACCCAUGUGGUUGGCGAGUAUAUUAAUUUUUAUAAUUAAGGUUUUUCUUUGAUUUUUCUUUUUUUAGUAAUACUUUAAAAGAUCAUUUGUAAGGGUAUUUAAAAGCAUUAUUCUAAAAUUAUACAAACAAAUCUCAAUGGGACAAAAACUGUUAUUUUUUUUUUAAAAGUGGAAGAAUGUAAUAUUGGAUUUUUAGUAAAUAUAAUAUCUUUAUCAGUAUCAUUUUCUACUUUGAGAAAUUUCCUUAUUCUAAAUUAUUUUACAAUAUUCAAAUAUAACGGAGUUUGAAUAAUAAAUAAGAAAAAAGAAAAGUGUAACGAUAAAUAAAUAAUUAUAUUGAAAAGAAUAAGAAAGGAGGAAGGGCAAGAGAAAAAGGGUGGGGGUUGUUUGGUUUGGUUCAUACUAGUUUGUGUGGGUAUCGUUAAGCUAGUGGCGAUCCGAUCCAGCUACAGUUACAGGUGCGGCUUCUUCUUCAUCUUCUUCUGCAUCGUCUUCCAGAUCUUUCUUUCAAUCCUCACACGCGCCUGCCUCUUACUUAGUUCUAGGGUCUUUGUUUCCGCCAUAGAUGUUUGUUCAUAUCUGCUUCUCGCGCAUUUUGUCGAUUAGUUUUUUAGUUUUUAAUGUAAAAAAAUGAAAUUAGUUGAUAGAUUACGACUUUUUGUGACUUUCUUGUUUCUGUUUGCUUGAUUGAAGAUCAAAUAAGCAAGAUGUUCGGUGUAAUAAAGCACAAGGUAUGACUUUUUUUCUGAUUGCAAUUGCAUUUCGCUGUGCUUUAUACGAUGAACACAACAGAACGCACACUCUUUUUUGCAGGCUCAGAGCAUUCGCCCUGCCUUCUCCGCUAUCAGACAUUUUUCUUCUGCCGCCAAAGAGGUUUGUAUUAUUGAUCUCAUCUAAUCUCUUAUCAGAUAUCAACCAAACCCGCCGUUUCUCUGAUUCACGUCUUUCGCUGCAGAUCACUGUUCGAGAGGCUCUCAACACCGCACUCGAUGAGGAAAUGUCAGCUGAUCCUAAAGUCUUCUUGAUGGGUGAAGAGGUCAUCCAUUUGUAUUCUAUUCUAUUCUCUCUUUCCUUUUUACAUUUUUUUUAAUGUUUUUUCGCCCUUGCCCUCUUGUGUUAAGUUUGGUCCUUCGUUUUCCUUCUGUUUAAGUGCAGGUUGGGGAAUAUCAGGGUGCAUACAAGGUUAGUUUACUUGUCUUGCCAACCUCUGGAUUUAACAAUUGGAUACCAUUACUUAUUACCUCUUAACAUUCUUUCUUCUUUCAUUCUAGAUAUCCAAGGGGCUGCUCGAGAAGUAUGGCCCUGAGAGGGUUCUCGAUACCCCAAUCACUGAGGUCAUUUUCCUUGCGCACAUUUCGUAUCUCUUUCAUACUUCAUACUUAUCCACCCAUUUGGUUUGCAACUUAUUUACCAUCUCCUUCCGUCUCUCCCUUACAUUCGUUACACCGCUUCACUGUAUGUACUUUUAGGUAACAAUGGUUGCAAACUGGUACACAUUUGGUACUUCUUGAGGCUCUAACCCUAUCCCAGUUUUAGUGUCUAUUAGAUAUAGUACCAUUCAAGAAAGAAAAAAAAUUUCGCAUUGAGAAAUUCAUAAGUAUUCAAUUUUUGGUUAAAAACCUAUAUUUGAUUAUAAAACAAAUGAUGAACUCAAACUAUACAUUAAGUAGACCCUUUAAUGUUAUUUGUUGCUAUUCUUCAUUUUCUGAAUUAGCAAGAUGCUGGCAUGACUAACCCAAGCACAAUGCUAUGAGUUAGAGUUUGCGAUAAAGCACACGUGUUUCACCUUGAAUCUUCUCCAAAUGAAUUUUGUAAUAUUUUGGCAUGUAACCACUUCUGAAUUUCUCUCUGAACUUGCCAAGGUCCAACUUUAAUAUGUCGAAAGAGUCAUUAAUGGAAUCAACCUAUAAAAUAAACAAAUUGAAGCUUUAAUAAUAUGAUGGCUUCGGGAUUCAUUCGUUGGAAUUAGAAUGGAAUGUUAUUUUUGGGUUUUGUGUUCUUCAUGUGUGCCACUUUUCACUUUUUGUUACAGAUUGCUUAUUGAACAUAAAAAUUAAUCUUUUCAGCUCCUCGCUGUAACAUUGUAAUCUAAUAUCCGUGUUUGAAUAAUGUUUUCAAUACCAUGGUUGGCUCUCCAUCUUAAAAAUGAGAUUAACAGACUGACUUUUAUGAAUUGAACUUAACUGCCUAUCCCUGGCCAAAAAAGAACAGGACUUAUACACAGUUGCAUAUGUUGGAUUUACAUAAUCUUUUGUGAAAUAUAAUACAGGCUGGGUUUGCUGGUAUUGGAGUUGGUGCUGCUUACUAUGGUCUAAGGCCUGUUGUGGAGUUUAUGACUUUUAACUUCUCCAUGCAGGUAGGAUUAUAUCUUUAUUGCAUAAUUUCUUUGUUAAAUUUAGUGUGGAGUUAAGUGUCACAUUUCUUACAGAGUCAGCACUUAGUUUAUGCAAGUUUGUGUGUAUUAAAGUUAUGUGAACCUGGCUGUAAGUGAAGAUGAUUAGAUAACAUUGUAUGAGUUUUCUCUUUAGUGAUAGGAAUAACUGACUUGAGUUUUUCAAUACAUGAUGAUUGAUUCCUCAAGGAUAAAUGUCGACUUGCCUGUAAGGCUGUGUUAAUAAUCAGGAUAUAGGUGUGCCUACCCAACUCAAAAAUGCUUUGCACAAGAGUAUAUAAGAUAAAUGAUAUAAUUAAUUUCUAUUAGACAUAUAAAUGCUCAAAAAAUAAAAAUUACUCUGUAAAAAGCAUUGUCAUCAUUCAUAAAUAGAAGUCAUGAUGAUAGUCCAAAAUAUUAUCAUCAUUUUCUUAGGCAUAACUUUUAAUAAUUAAUAAGUUAUUGGCAACAAAGGAUCUUAAGGACGAAAAGAGUAUCGUGCCAAACCUUGACAAAUUUGAGCCUCUGAUGUGUUGGAGGGAUGACAUCAUGUGGGUUCUGAAGUGCAAACUAGUCAACACAAAAAGGAGAGAACAUCAAAGCAAAAAUGAGUUGUCCAAGUGUGCACCGAGGUGACAGGAAUGGAUAAUACUCAACACCAGCAGUUUGCUGGAAAACAACAGCAAACAAUGGAUAAUAGCCAAUCUCAAACUAGAGGGGGCGGGGAUGUGAAAACAAUGCCUGCUAGUAAAUGGCAUACAAUUUGAGGAGUCACAUGACAAAUCACCAAUAGUGAUCAAGAUUUUACAUGCUCUGGGCUUGUGAUUGUUGCUUUAUGAAAACCUGAAGUGAUUCUCUGUGCAUUGCAGGGAUGACAUACUUAAUGUUUUUAAUAUUCUGUGUCUGACUACCCUGUUAAAGAUAUAAACCUAAGGAUUUGUUGUUGGGCAAAGCUGCCGAUCUCAGUAUACAAAAGAGGGAUUCAAUUUAUUGUUAACAGUGGCAAUCAUAUUUGACUUUAAAAAUAAAGCAAUUCUGUAGUGUUUUAAAUAAUAGUUUGAACAUCACAUCAAUGCCAUACAAAUCAAUUUAGUUUAUUAGAUGACAGGCUUUUUUGCUGCAAAUUGGUUACUUGACAAUACUCUGCGUGAAGUAGGGCCUUGUGUUUGCAAUCUUAAUGUUGGCCGCUGGUAGCUUGAAUAUUGAAUACUAAUAAAUUCAAGUGAAUAUUGUAUCAACAUGUGUAAUUAUGCUUAGUUUUUAGCUUCAUUUGUCUGGUAUCCAGCUGUGUCAUCUUUGGUUUGUUAGCUUGCUGAUUAAUUAUUUAACUUCUAUCCACUCAUUGAAUUUUAACUAUUGUUGCAGGCAAUAGACCAUAUUAUUAAUUCUGCCGCAAAAUCCAAUUACAUGUCUGCUGGGCAAAUAUCUGUACCUAUUGUUUUUAGAGGACCCAAUGGUGCUGCCGCUGGGGUUGGUGCCCAGCAUUCUCAAGUAUGGUUCUCAAAGCUGCUUUCUUUUAUGUACAAACUUUAUUUCACUAUUUCGUUAAAUUCUGCCUUGAAUUUACUCUGCUUUAGAGGUGUGGAGAACUGAUAAAUACUUCAGAUUUCAUCUAUGUAUCUACAACUUUGCUUUUAUGCAGUGUUAUGCAUCUUGGUAUGCUUCAUGCCCUGGGUUGAAAGUCCUGUCUCCGUAUUCAUCUGAAGAUGCACGUGGUUUGCUUAAAGCUGCUAUAAGGGACCCCGAUCCUGUUGUUUUUCUUGAAAAUGAGUUACUGUAAGUUUUGCUGCUUUAUUCUCACCCACACACAACCCCCUGCCCGAGAAAUAAGUUGCCAUAGUUUUAACACCAGUUAUUAUUAUUAUUAUUCCGAAAAAUAUUUAAUUUGUACACUAUGUCCCCUAGAUAUGGUGAGUCAUUCCCUGUUUCGGCUGAAGCUCUUGAUUCCAGUUUUUGCCUUCCCAUAGGAAAAGCAAAGGUAGUUAAUUAUCUGUAGUGUACGAAUCCUUGUUUCUAGAGCCAUAUUUAGUUAUUUACUACACAAUAAUGCAUUCUCACUGAAUCCAUGUUUGCUUCACGCAUUUUAUCACUAACAGAUUGAGAGGGAAGGAAAAGAUGUAACUAUUACAGCUUAUUCAAAAAUGGUUGGCUAUGCUCUCAAGGUUUGUUUACCGUGAGAUCCUUUUGUGGUGUAGAUAUGAAUAUUUUGCUGUUCUAAAAAGUUAAAAAUCUCUAACCCCUUCUGUACUACCAAAGUAGACAACAUUCUUAAAUAUCUCUUGGUGUUUUAGGCUGCUGAGACACUGGCUAAAGAAGGAAUCAGUGCCGAGGUAAGAUUUGCAAGAGUUAGUAAUGAACUUUCCCCUCUUUCUCCAAAACUUCAUUUGGGUUAUGAUAAUGGUUAAUGACGUUUAUCCACAUAGGUUAUUAAUUUGCGUUCAAUCCGACCAUUGGAUCGAUCAACAAUUAAUGCUUCUGUCAGGAAAACCAACAGGCUAGUGACAGUUGAAGAAGGGUUUCCUCAGCAUGGUGUUGGGGCUGAAAUCUGGUUUGUCUCUUUGCAUUGACUUUCUCUGUAUCUUUCUGGUUAAAUUUUGCCAAUUAUGUGAGUGUAUACUUCUCUUGAGCAGCACAUCUGUCAUUGAGGAGAGUUUUGGUUAUCUUGACGCACCUGUUGAGAGAAUUGCUGGGGCUGAUGUUCCUAUGCCAUACGCAGCUAACCUGGAGAGAUUGGCUGUUCCACAGGUAAUGAUUGUAGAAUAUUAUGUGUUUGUUCUGAAUAUGUCAACUUGUUUUGGAAGAUUUGUUAUCUUUAUUUUGAUCCAGAAAUGUACUUUUAUUUUGAAUGGGAGUAGUGAUAGCCUGGACAUGAUGGUCUUGUGUGACACGAGUAUUGAUGCUAAUUUGUUCAAGGUUUUGGUACAAGUGUAUUGAGAAUUUAAAUCUGAUUGUUUUCUGGUAUAUGUGGAUGGACAGAUUGAAGAUAUUGUUCGAGCUGCGAAGAGAGCAUGCCACAGAUCGGUGCCUUUGGCUGCAGCUGCUUGAAAGUUCUGGAAAACUUUCAUGUCCUGAUUAGUUCUUUGGUAAUCCUUGAUGUACCAAAAACAAUUUUCCCCCAAAUUUCCACCAUAAAACAGCAGGAAGAAAUUACAACCAAAGAAUGCUGGUUUUAACUCGUGGGUUAUGCUGGGCUUUGGUUAAAAAAUUCUGUUGUAUAUUCCUAAUUUUCAGGACUCACAGAUGCCAUACAUUUUUUUCCCCAUUCUCAGCCAGCAUAUAUAUGGGAGGAAGUUAAGUUUAAUAACUUGGAAAACAAUAACACAGGGCGGAAGUCUUCUGUGCUUUGGUUUCUGAUUGGCAAUAACUAAGUAGUCAAUUUUUUGAAUACAUUAUCGAGUUUCUUUCCAGUGGGCCAGUUCUAUGCAAGAUCUAGCUUACUUAUUUAAUUCAAUCCCAUUUACUGUUUGUUACUUGGCAGGCUAGAGAUAUUUGAUUUGAUACGAGGUCCGUAUCCUCGGGGAGAAUAAGGCUAUGGGUACUUGGUGUUGUGGAUUGUGCUUGGUCUUAGUCACCGUGAACUCCCUAAAAUUACUUAUAUAACUUCGGUUAGCAAUACCCACGAAAUCAUAUUGUCUCCUGUUAAUGUCAGUCGAAGAAAUUUCUCCAUUUGCUUAAACGAGUUUAACUUUUAUCUAUGGGGAAAUUUCACCGUGAAUCAUGUGUUGAGAAAGCACUUGGACGUUGAUUUUUGAUAUAAUUGUUUGUCAACUUCAUUUAGUAUCAUGUCAAUGUAUUAACAAAGAUAAUUUGGCAAAUUUGAUGUCGUAAACCUAAUUAUAUGCUCUAAAUUAUGUUACUGACAAUAGUAAAUCAUAUUUGAGAGGUCGUUUUGAAGGACAAAAGAUUGUGUUGAUUUUGUAAGUCGUACAAAAUAUUAUAUAAUUGGAUAAAUAUUUAAAAUGGAAGGAAAGUAUAUUAAUACUUUGUUUUUUUUUUGUUUGUUAAGUUAUUUUCUGAAUUUGAAAAUGAAAUGUUUUCUUUCCUUUUAUUUUCAUCCAUAACUUUUCAGUUUUAUUUUGUUUGCUGUUUUGACAUGAUAAAAUGUUCAGUUCUUAUUUUUGCUUUACUAGAAUAUUAAUGCUGUAUGUGAGUAUGAAAUCGUUAUUUCGAACACAAAUUCUGCUUUUCUUAGCCCUUAACUUGAAAAAAGUAGUUUCAAAUAUAAACGCUCGGAUCCUUAAGACCUCAACUAACAUUUGUUUUAUUAUAUUAAAUAAUCUUAAAUCAUUUAAGAGUUUGCAUGAAUGAUCAUUUAAAUAUAUUUUUUCUUUUAACUUUUUUAUGUAUUUAAAGACAUGACGAUAAAAGAAUUUUAAAAUUUAAAGUGAAGAAUACAUCAAUUCACAUAUGCUGAUUGUAAUGUAUGUAAUUAGGUUCACAACAAAAAUUUAAGGUGGAUGAUAUGGUCAUAAAAAUCUUUCAUAAAUUCCAAAAUAUGUUAUCUUAGUUCAUUUUGCAUGUUAUUUGUUUCCAAUACUUUUUUAGAACAAAAUCUCAGAAAGCACAAAAUUUCCUGAAAGUAAAAUUGGGGAAUUAUAAAUAAAAUCUGAUUAGAAAAUAGCCGAGAAUUACAUGCAAAAUAUGCUCUGAAAUGUAAACCAUUAUUUUCUAUAUAUGAAGUUGACUUUACUUUCGCAAAGCAAGCUAUGAUAUCAAAUUCGAUUACAUUAUUCUUGGAGUGGAGUUAAAAUGUGAUAAAUAGUUGAUUUUGCAGACAAAUGGUAUUUUAGAAGCUUCGGUAUCCCUUUUUAUAUCUUCUGUGUCCGAAGUAUUUUAAUUUUAAAAAAGUGUCUUUGUUUUAGUUAGGGAGCAUAAUUUUUGAAAAUAGUUUGGCAGUUAUUUUAAAAGUCAAAGUCGAAAAGCUUACAUUUUGUAUUGAUUCUUGUUUGGAGAAAAAAGAAAUCGAAAAAUUUGUAUGCAUGGAAGGUGUGGCCUUGACUUUUGACAAGUGAACGAAAGUAUUUUUAGUGAAUAGUUUUAUAGUAUAAUUCAAUGAUUAGAAGCAGAGAAUUGAGAGAGGGAGGAAGAAGAAGUGAUGAUAGGAGAAGGUUAGGGAUAAUAGUAAUGGUAAAUAGAAAUACAAUAUUAUUAAAAAUAAAUAAUAGUAGUAAUUAUAAUAAUAAUAAUAAUAGAAAUAAUGAAAGGUUGGGGGUGGUGGAAUUUGCGUGGGAGGAGUUGGUGGCGUAAGCAGAGGAAGCGGUUGAAGAAAGAAAUGGUCUGAUUGGGAUGGGGAAGGGGAUUUGACCACCUCCUCGUUGUCGUUGUUGGCGGCGAUUUCCAUUUGCUAUUCUUCACUCUAAUCCUUCAUUGUUACGAACAAACAAAGCAAAAGUUAUUAGAACAAACGAUUGCAAGACAUCGAUGAAGAGCUCUCUGAAGAAAUUGCGAGGUCUGGCGCUUCACAAUCACAACCACAACCGCACUCGCAAGGAUGACUCCUCCAACUCCAUUCAGCCUUUGGGCCAGCUUGACGAGCUUGCUCGGGCCACCCAGGCACGCACGCCUCCACAUUCGCAUUUCUCUUUCCAUCUCUGUUUCUUCAACAUAUCCUACCCUAUCAUACAAUACAUCUCUACUUUUAGGGUUUGACGGAUGGAAUUGAUUUGGAAUUGCUCUUCAGGAUAUGCAAGACAUGAGGGACUGCUAUGACACCUUGCUUUCCGCCGCUGCUGCAACCGCCAGCAGUGCCUAUGGUAGGGUUGGGACGUUGGAAUAUCGUUCAUUCAUUCUUUCUUUCUUUUCUUCAUCCUUUCAUGCUUUUCAUAUCGUCUAUUAUUCUCUUCUUACAGAAUUCUCUGAGUCCUUGCGAGACAUGGGCUCUUGUCUCCUCGAGAAGACCGCUUUAAAUGACCACGCAGAUGAAACUGGCACUCUACUCUUCUUUUACUUCUUCUUCUUCCACUUCUGCACGCACUUCAUCACCUUUUUCAUUUUUUCUCUUCCCUAACCCCUUCCGUUGUUCUUUUCCAUUCUGUUAUUGCAGGAAAACUUCUCCUCACGCUUGGCAAAAUUCAGUUCAAACUCCACAAACUAAUUGAUGACUACGUCACUUCCUAAUCUUUUCUCUAUUUCCAUUUUAUCUUUACUAAUUAUUUUCUAUGCUUUUCAUCACUCUUUUCUUUCCCUUUCCAGCGUUCUCAUAUAAUCCAGACAAUUACCGUUCCCUCGGAAUCUCUCUUGAAUGAACUUCGAAUUGUUGAGGUUUCUAAUUCUAAUCUUUUUUAUAUCUCUAUCUAUUGCUCUUACAUAAACCUAGUCAUGCAUCACUCUCCUUCAA